GUUCCCUUGCAAUUGUACCACCUGGUAUGAAUAUUAAUUACAAAAAAAGAGAGAGAGGAGAAAAGGAGUAAUUUAUAAUCAACCUUUAUUUAGGAAUAUACUCUUUUCAAAACCAACUUGUAAUUGAUCUUCAAUAAAGGAUUCAAUUUGCAAUGACGCAGCUAUAUAAAGACGAAUUUUCCUUUUUAACAGUUUACAGGAUACGAUUACAACCCAAAGAUAUGAAUGUAAUUUCACCCCUUCUGUUUUACUUAAUGUUAAUAGAUUCACAAUUGAGGAAUAGCUAGAGUCGCACAAAUAUUACAUACAAUAUUUUAUUUUAAUAUUAAAAAUCU